GUGGGGUUGUGGCUCGGCGGUAGAGUGCUCGCCUAGCACAUGCGAGGCCCUGUGUUCAAUCCUCAGCACCACA
rnacentral:tRNA from 1 species